UAAAAUAAACCAUAAAUUCUCCCAAAACCCUCUAAAACUCCAGAAAUUACUCCUCCAUUUUGCCUUUUUUUUUCUCUCAAUUAAUUUCAAGAAUUAUUUUUUUUAUGGCGGGCUAAUCACCAAGAGAUUCAAGAUACUUACUUAGCCACCAUUAUCUUGGAUUCGACACUAGUACUUCCUACCAAACUACGGUAAAAAGUAAGGGUAAAAUUCAAAUUCUUUUUGUCGAGGCAAAUCUAGGGGGAGGUUCCUAUAUAAAGUCGCCUCUUGCAGAGAUUGUGGCUUGCUAGGCCAUCACAAUGAUCAAUGCCCGAAGCUUAAAGAGGUAAGUGCCAUGGGAGGUUUCAGAAGAAAUGAUUCACAGAGUAACACCUAUAACUCUGGUUGGAGGGACCAUCCAAAUCUCAAGUGGGGACCUUAAGAAUCAAAACCUACCAACACUUCUUCUUCCUCCUAAUCAUCACAAGGUUAUGAGAUUACAGGACAUCAAAGGCGUGUGCGUGAGGAGAAGACGACACGUGGCAUGCGUAGAUUGGUAGAGAGUGGAGAACGUACGCGCGUGAAGUGUUUUGAAAAUGGGGAAUAAAGGAAUACGCUCGGCUGGGAUUCGAACUCGCGACCUUGAGGUGUUUUAUUUGCGUGGAAGUAUUGAAUCUUUUUGGUUAUUUACCAACUGGUUUUUGAUCUUCGAUUUACUCGUUUUUCUUUGUUCGGACUUCGCUUUAAGUGUUUUUCAUUGC